GGCUGGUCCAAUGGUAGUGGGUUAUCAGAACUUAUUAACAUUAGUGUCACUAAAGUUGGUAUACAACCCCCCACUGUUGAAUUUGACUGGCAAAA
rnacentral:Y_RNA from 1 species